CAGCAGCGCCCACGAGUUCCUCACCUGGCUCGACAGCAUCCAGUUCGCGGGGGGGGGCGGCGAGAGCUGCAGCCUGAUCGCCGAGGGGCUCAGCACCGCCCUGCAGCUCUUCGACGACUUCAAGAAAAUGAGGGAGCAAAUAGGACAGACCCACAAGGUUUGCGUGCUGAUCUGUGACU